rnacentral:rRNA from 1 species
GACGAACGCUGGCGGCGUGCCUAAUACAUUCAAGUCGAACGCAGUGGGGACGGGUGAGUAACACGUGGGUAACCUCCCAUCAGAGGGGAUAACACUUGGAAACAGGUGCUAAACCGAUACUGAUGGAUGGACCCGCGGUGCAUUAGCUAGUUGGUGGGGUAACGGCUCACCAAGGCCACGAUGCAUAGCCUACGUAGGAGGGUGACCGCGCACACGGGGACGGAAACACUGACGAGACGCCUACGGAAGGCAGCAGUGGGGAAUAUAGCGCAAUGGGCGCAAGCCUGAUGCAGCCAAGCCGCGAGUAUGAAGAAGGCCUUCGGGUUGUAAAGUACUUUCAGCGGGGAGGCGUUACCCGCAGAAGAAGCAACGGCUAACUCCGUGCCAGCCGCCGCGGUAAUAC